rfam:Rhizobiales bacterium TMED143 56814, whole genome shotgun sequence.
UGUUCAGGUCGUGGAGAUUUGAGCCGGUCGGCUUGCGGCCACGUAAAAUAAACCGCUAAAAAGGCCGGGGAAGCCCCGAC